CCUACGGGGUGCAGCAGUGAGGAAUAUUGGUCAAUGGGCGGAAGCCUGAACCAGCCAAGUAGCGUGCAGGAUGACGGCCCUACGGGUUGUAAACUGCUUUUAUACGGGAAUAACGCGCCUUACGUGUAGGGCUUUGCAUGUACCGUAUGAAUAAGGACCGCCUAAUUCCGUGCAAGCAGCCGCGGUAAUCCGGAGGGUCCGGUCGUUAUCCGGAUUUAUUGGGUUUAAGGGGAUAUUAGGCCGCAUGUCAAGCGUGCUGUGAAAUGUCCGGGCUCAACCCGGGCCUUGCAGCGCGAACUGGCGUGCUGGAGUCCGCGGAAAGCAGGCGGAAUUCGUCGUGUAGCGGUGAAAUGCUUAGAUAUGACGAAGAACCCCGAUUGCGAAGGCAGCUUGCUGCAGCGGAACUGACGCUGAUGCUCGAAAGCGCGGGUAUCUAACAGGAUUAGAUACCCCGGUAGUC
rnacentral:rRNA from 1 species